UGGUGGUGCUCACUGUGCCGUCGCCAGGCCUGGGGCUGUGGGGGCCCUGGCUGCACUCCGCACCACCAGGCCAAGAGCCGAGAGCCAAGCAGAACUCUGAACUGGGGCAAGCUGCAGGCAGAGCAGUCACUCUAUGCUGCGAGCUGGUCCGGCCCCCAUCAGCCCAUGGCUCCUUUCUUCCUCAGUUCCACCGAAAGCCAGUGCCCACCCUUCUUGGAAACCACACCUUUACCUUCAGAAACAGGAACCCGGCUCCUCACUCACUUCACUCAAGCGAUGUCCUCUAGAAGACGAUUGACACAGAGACCGCACACCAGUGAGGCCUCCCCAGAGACAAACAACUCGAGCACCCUCAGCCCUCUGCCCACUCUGCCCCUCACCUGCCUUACCGGGAUCUGGACAGAAAGAAGCUCCUUCGCCAGCUUUA